AAAAUAAUAUACAUAAAGAAUUAAAAUCUAAUUCAUGUCUAUAAAAAUAAAUAAUAAAAAAAAUCCAUAGCUAGCAUGAGUUUUAUGGGCAUGAUCUUAUCUCUUGAAUGUUCCCCAAUGACAGAAAUAUUUUUGAAGAAGUUAAUAAGCUGUUUAAAAUGAAUUUACAUAUUCUCUCAGUUCCAACCAAUGGUUAUUAUUAUUUUGACAAUUUUAAUUAAUAUACAUUUCCUUAGAAAUUCAAACUGGUUCAUAAUUUCAAGGUAUGUAUUAUGUUGUCUAGAUGUUGGUUUUAGUUUUUAUUCUCUUCCUUUUACUUAUUUAUUUUUUAUCAGCAACAAAAUGGAACUUUUAUUAAAAAGAAGAAUAAGAAAGAGAUGCAAACAAAGGGGGACAAGGAGUCCUCAAAACAAAAGGUAAGAGAAGGAAAAUCCCAGAAAAAAAUAAAAUAAGAGUCUGAGUCGCACACUGUAUUCUCUUCCUUUUAUGCAGGCACAUAUUAAUUUAAAUAUACCUAUGUAAAAAGUUUGGAAAAGAAAUACAAUUAAAACUAUUCAUUUCUUGCAGACUCUGUUUUUGAUGGGCAGCUGCAUAUAUUGGAAGCCAUUUGCAGCCAACAUUGUAGAUUGCUUCUAUGACCUUGAGGAGACCUAUGAUGAAUUUUUUACCAAAACAGAGGUGAAGAAAAUGAUGCACAAUAUUCGUCAAUAUCAAGUUCCACUUCAGAAGUACAUGGCCAUGAUGGACCUCCAGAUGCCUCUUUAACUCACAACAACAACUCCAACUUGUUGAUUUGAAGCCGUUGGUGCAUACAUGGCGUGCUUCGAUGCUGCUUGGUUAUAAAUAAUUCAUUUUCAACUCAUAUAACAAUAUGGAAUCUGGGAUUAUCAGCAUUUGCCUCUUCAUUCUUCAUUCCAAUGCCAGUGUACUUAAGAUACUACAGACAGUAAAAGCAUGACAGAUUACUUCAUUUAUUGUAGCCUUUAAAAGAGUUUGAAACAGAUGAAAACAAAAUGGUAAAUGUAUAAUUCUUUCAUUUAUUUAUUUUCAAUUGUUUUGGUUUACAAGAGAGGAAUGAGGCUGUUCUACAAGCUUCUUAUUGAAAGAGAAGUAUGAUUUUGUUUCACCUGUAUUUAUGAGGCUUACAAGUUCCGAUAAUUUCAGUUUCAACUUAAAAAAAGUUUCUUGCUUUCACAGGGGAAAGAUUCUCGAGGUAUUGAAAAAUUGGCCUGAGAGGAGCAUUCAAGUUAUUGUCCUCACUGAUGGUGAGUGAAUUUUGGGACUUGGGGAUCUUGGUUCCCAGGUUAAAUCAUUAUCAGGGGAUGGGGAUACCUGUUGGAAAAGUGGCUUUGUAUACAGCACUUGGAGGAGUUAGACCUUCUGUGGUAACCCUCACUAGCAGAUAAUAUACAGUAUUCUCUAUGUAGAUGCUCACCUUCUUUGAAACCCGUACUUAAUUACUCAUGAACCUCUUUGAUUAUAAUGUGUGUAUGCAAGUUUCACAACCAUUAUGUUUCAAGAAAAACUACAUAACAUGGUUUAAUUCUCAGCUUGACCAUAUAAUCUGGAUCAAUGCCUUUUUGCUUGAUUGUGCAGUAUUUACCCAUAACGAUUGAUGUGGGGACAAACAACGAGCAGUUGUUGAAGGAUGAGUUCUACGUUGGGCUCCGACAAAGGAGGGAAACUGGGAAGGUCCAUUGGUUUUGGCAUUUUAUUGCUUGCUUACAGUCAUGAAAGGCAUUCUAUUUGGUUUUUUUUUUUUUUUGGCAUUCUAUUUGGUACUGAGCUAGUUUUAGAAAAUUGAUCUUCGGGAAUAUGCUGACCUACUUCAUGAAUUCAUGGCUGCUGUCAAGCAGAAUUAUGGUGAAAAAGUACUUGUACAGUUUGAAGAUUUUACAAACCACAAUGCUUUUGAGUUGCUAGAGAAAUAUGGUUACUCAUCUUGUCUUCAAUGAUGAUAUCCAGAGUAAGGGUGAGGAGGUUGCUUCAUAUUUAAAUAGUCGCUGUAUAUUUCUUGUUGGAAUGAUGGGCUCCGAAAAGACUACAGUGGGCAAGGUUUUGUCUGAAGCACUAGCUUAUUCUUUUGUUGAUAGACAAGAAAUACAACAGGGUUAGUUGCUCCAGCUAUUGCCGCGAGUUUAGGUGCCUUAACACAUACAUUGGGCACCCUUGUCCAGCAAACAGAUUUGCUAUAGUUGUAGCUGCAACUACUAUAGGAACUGUUAUCAGUAGUUUUAGAUAAUCUUUUAAUAGUUGUCGAUAUGUUUAGAAAGUUAGAUAUGCAUAGUUUUGGAUGGUUUAAACUUUUUGUAGAGUUUAGAACUUAAGGAUAUAGUUUUCGAAUGUUUUGAAUGUAUAGACAAUUGUUGAAUAUUUA